CUCUACUCACAGAUGUGAGAUCGCUUGAAAGACAAUAGGAGCAUCAUUGGAUUGGAGGGAGUUGUCGUCCACUGAAAGGCUUUCCAGUUAGUAUGGACUGCUGAAAAUUUUGGGCACUGCAGUGAUCGGUUGCUUGCUGCUCAGAAACUCAUAUAUUGGUAAUAUCUUACUACCCAGUUCUUCAGCACAGUCUAUUCAGUGUGUAUUUUCCAAUUAAACUACAAACAUGUAUGCAUUUUUACAUCCAGAAGUGUCUGAGCACAGGACUGGAAAUCUGACCCUUAAUGGUGAAAGAGAGGACUGGUGCAGAAAUAUUUUUGUCUGGAUGCCAGACCGAGUGGAACACCAUCUCCAAUGAAUGCCACAACUUUUGCUACUGCUUGUAAUCUGCACUGUGAAGAGAAUGAAGCUAAUCAAACUUACAAAUGGUGCAAUCCAUUUCCUCUUUGAGACACAAUCUUUGAGCAAAGAGAGCAGUAGAAAGCCCUCCUUUAAGGUCUGAGGAAACAUCUUUUUCGAAGAUGUUGACAGAAUCUCUUAAAAACAAAUAACCCCUUUUUGGAAAUCUAUCGGUCCAGCUGCCUCCCAAGUAUUUUCUAUGUGGUUGCACCAUUGCCUACAAAUUACAAAUUGUGACAUCUCCUCACUCCCACUGUAAAUGCAGAAAAGAGAGAGAGAGAGACCUUACUGGGGAGAUGCAUCAUUGUUUCUUUCUGCCCUGGGAAACUGGUGCGAUAGACUCCAUUGUCUUACAUACCAAACCCUGAGGAGGACACUAAAGCCCAUAUCCCAAAUUUCAAUGGGCACUAGCCCCCUAGAUGCCUUUAAGGAUCUGGGCCUACAUGACUUGUGUUACUUAUUGCAGUAUGCUGAAGAAAUUUGAAAACUCAUCACCUGCUUUUCAUCAACAUAUUUAUAUCAUUUUGGGCACAUGCUUAUAGCAACUGCUAUGAAUCACAUUAAAUAUGACUUUUUAUCUUUCUCUGAUAUCAGCCCCAUCUGCUUGACCUCAUCUCAUCUAUAUUCAUUGUUGCCUUUAAAUGCUUCUCAAUAGCCUUUAGGUAGAAGGCACAGAUAAAAAAGUCCUCCAUGAUCAUGGAAUGCAUGAUAAGGUAUUGCAUAGUUAAUUGUUGUUUCUUAAGGACUCUCUAGGAAGGAAAAGCAGUGCAUUGUACAUUCCUGAGUAGAGAGAGAACAUCUGCAAAAACUUGAAGAGAAGCUGAUUCCCCUUGCUGUCUGCUUUUACUACUGCAUUUUUUAAGAAGCAGCAUUAAUUUCACAUUCAAGGACUGGUGUCUUUUUUGAGUAUAAAGCAUCUGUGUUAUCCAUGGAUGUAGCAAGAAGAAUUAUAUAGUGUAAUGAAAUGAUAUAAUCAUUAUAAUACCGUACUUAAUUUUAUAGUACUUCUGCUCUUGAAAGUGUAACCCCCUUGGCGCCCUUGAGGGAACAAACUCAGGAUAUGGGGUGCGCAUUAUCUACCGAGGGCCCAGGUUAUCCUGCUAGUCUGGGUCUCCCUGCUGUACUCAUGACUCCUCCCACUAGUUAUCUGGAUUAUUCAAAAUGAUACUCCAAUGGCAGUGCUUCCUGGGAAAUAAUGGGUAAUCCAUCCUACCAGGGCAUACUGUGCUCAUGUCAUAACUAAGUACACAGUUCUCAAAUUACCAAGUAACUCCAAUAAACUAUAUAGAAACAACAGAAAUUAUAAACACAAAAAUUGUAAAGAACAAGUUAUACUAAAUAAAUAUAUAUGAAUGUGGCUAGGU